rnacentral:rRNA from 1 species
AUUGAACGCUAGCGGGAUGCUUUACACAUGCAAGUCGAACGGCAGCGCGGACUUCGGUCUGGCGGCGAGUGGCGAACGGGUGAGUAAUGUAUCGGAACGUGCCCAGUAGCGGGGGAUAACUACGCGAAAGCGUAGCUAAUACCGCAUACGCCCUACGGGGGAAAGCAGGGGAUCGUAAGACCUUGUACUAUUGGAGCGGCCGAUAUCGGAUUAGCUAGUUGGUGAGGUAACGGCUCACCAAGGCGACGAUCCGUAGCUGGUUUGAGAGGACGACCAGCCACACUGGGACUGAGACACGGCCCAGGCUCCUACGGGAGGCAGCAGUGGGGAAUUUUGGACAAUGGGGGCAACCCUGAUCCAGCCAUCCCGCGUGUGCGAUGAAGGCCUUCGGGUUGUAAAGCACUUUUGGCAGGAAAGAAACGUCGCGGGCUAAUACCCCGUGGAACUGACGGUACCUGCAGAAUAAGCACCGGCUAACUACGUG